rnacentral:rRNA from 1 species
AGUGAACGCUGGCGGUAGGCCUAACACAUGCAAGUCGAACGGCAGCACAGUAAGAGCUUGCUCUUACGGGUGGCGAGUGGCGGACGGGUGAGGAAUACAUCGGAAUCUACUUUUUCGUGGGGGAUAACGUAGGGAAACUUACGCUAAUACCGCAUACGACCUACGGGUGAAAGCAGGGGAUCUUCGGACCUUGCGCGAUUGAAUGAGCCGAUGUCGGAUUAGCUAGUUGGCGGGGUAAAGGCCCACCAAGGCGACGAUCCGUAGCUGGUCUGAGAGGAUGAUCAGCCACACUGGAACUGAGACACGGUCCAGACUCCUGAGGGAGGCAGCAGUGGGGAAUAUUGGACAAUGGGCGCAAGCCUGAUCCAGCCAUCCCGCGUGGGUGAAGAAGGCCUUCGGGUUGUAAAGCCCUUUUGUUGGGAAAGAAAAGCAGCAGGUUAAUACCCCGCUGUUCUGACGGUACCCAAAGAAUAAGCACCGGCUAACUUCGUG